AUGACAUUUACACAUGUGCACACGACCCCGCCCUGCUGCCCUCUUAUUAAACCAGUGAACAUGAACAUACUGGGAUUGCUUCAAGGAUGUUACGCGGCUGCUUCUCAUAAAUUUCACAUGCUGUGGUCAAUAGGUGAUCUGGAAAAUGGGAGCCUGGGGAGAAAACACUGCGAGAGGACGUGAUUUACAGAUCUGACCGUAAAGCCUCCUGAUGGUGAUCAGAACAUUCAUGCACAGCGACUCUUGUGUUUAACUAGUCUGUGGUUUGGUGGUUUAGACGUAUUCUACGCAGUCCUCUGUGUGUAAAACUCCCUCGUACUAGAGCAGUUUCUUGGUUGCACACGUCUACUGUCUAAUAAAAUGCUAAUCACGCUGACUUUUGAACCCAGACGUGUGAGAUUGGUGUUAUCUCAAAAACGUAUUAAAACAGUUUCUUCUGUU